GGAAGGAUCAUUAACAAAUCUGGGUGUGUGAGUUGGUGGUGGUGAGAGGGAGGAGGGGGUGUUAAGAGGGGAGAGUUUGUCCUUUUGGGGCUUGCUCUUCUUUAUUUUAUUACAACCUCUCUCUCUCUCGCUCUCUACAAAAACACACACCGACAUUGACUCGGACUCUUGGCAAGGCAGCUUUUUGUUGCCUAACCUCGGGUCUUGAGCACAUUCACGCUUGUCGGGUAUGACUGAGUAUAUAUUGUGCCAUUAAGAAAAAGACAACUUUUAACAAUGGAUCUCUUGGCUCUUGCAACGAUGAAGAACGCAGUAAAGUGCGAUAUGUAGUGCGAUUUGCAUGAAUCUGUGAGUCAUCAAGUCUUUGAACGCAACUUGCACCUUUCGGGUAACUGAGAGGUAUGUCUGUUUGAGUAUCCGAACCCUAUAUUAUCCCUGAAGAGGGACAGAGUUGAGGCCUUAUCUCUUGUAAUGAGAGGUAUGCUUUUAAAGGUAGUAGGAAAAAGGCAUGGGGGACCUUGGCUAUGUGCUAGAGACCUAUGGUCUUGUCAUAGCAAAGAUAUUCUCGUGUCUAGGUGGGGGAUGGUGUUGUGAUAUAGGUGGUAGUUGUGUAGACGAGGUAAGGUUAGAGAGAGUAAGGGGCAACCUUUAUUCUUGGCUUUGCUUCACUCUACUCUUACCCAUCAUAUAUAUCAUAACAUAUCCUCCUAACUCUCUCUACACGGAUCUCAAAUCAGGCAAGACUACCCGCUGAACUUAAGCAUAUCAGUAAGCGGAGGAAAAGAAACUAACAAGGAUUCCCUCAGUAACGGCGAGUGAAGCGGGAAUAGCUCAAAUUUAAAAUCUGAACGGCCUCCGUUCCGAAUUGUAGUCUAAAGAGGGUGAUCGAGGCGGGCGGGCAGGACCAAGUCCCUUGGAAGAGGGCGCCUAAGAGGGUGAGAGCCCCGUUUAGUCCUGCUCAAGGCCAGCUGGUAAGAGAACCCUUCAAAGAGUCGAGUUGUUUGGGAAUGCAGCUCAAAUUGGGUGGUAAAUCUCAUCUAAGGCUAAAUAUUGGCAAGAGACCGAUAGCGAACAAGUACCGUGAGGGAAAGAUGAAAAGCACCUUGAAAAGGGAGUUAAAUAGUGCGUGAAAUUGUUAAAAGGGAAACGAUUGAGACCAGUAUUGUCGGGGAGUAGUGAUGCCAGUCUCUUGGGACGGGCAGAGCCUCAGCGACGAGUCAAUGGCCGUUAGGACUGCUCGACACUGGCCAAGGGAAGGUGGGGUUGCCCUUUGGGGUUUCUCUUUAUAGACCUUGGUCGACGGAGUGGUGCUGACGGUAGGGGGGGAACCCCGCACGACUGGCUAACGCUAGGUCAAGACUGUUGUCCAGCGGGGACGGACUGCACGCCAGACCGGACCAGCAAGCAGCAGAGGGAAGCCUAGGAUGCCCGGUGGGUGCAUUGACGAAAUGGUCUUAAACGACCCGUCUUGAAACACGGACCAAGGAGUCUAACAUGUAUGCAAGUAUUAGAGUGGCAAACUCUUGUGCAUAAUGAAAGUGAAUUCUGUGAGCCAUGUGGUUGUAAAAGACGCAGGGCGCAACAGAGACCGGCCUCGAUAUCUCUUGACAGGACCGAGUAAGAGCUUAUAUGUUGGGACCCGAAAGGUGGUGAACUAUGCCUGACUAGGGCGAAGCCAGAGGAAACUCUGGUGGAGGCUCGUAGCCGUUCUGACGUGCAAUCGAUGGUCAAAGUUGGGUAUAGGGGCGAAAGACUAAUCGAACCACCUAGUAGCUGGUUCCCUC
rnacentral:misc_RNA from 1 species